CUUCACAAAGUUAUCGUUAUGAAUCGAUGACUGCGCGUUGGCUCAGAUCAAUUGGAGUAGAUUCGUCUUCAAAACGUUUUUAAAUCGACGCGAUUUGGAGCGUUUACACUACGGAUUUAACGUGCCACCAAGUCAAUUCUGUAGCUCACACCAGGUGGUCCUCAAAUGUCACUUGUAAUUUUUUUUUUUCAACGAGGUUUUCGACAGCUUUGCAAAACUCCGCUGCAGCACAUGAAUAUCUUUAUGAUGCUAAUAGCCAACAUGUCUGUCAGCGAUGGACGAGGGUGUUUCAAAGAGCGUCAUCGCGCUGCAGUUUGUUGUUGUUUGUUGUUGCACAUUGCACAUGCUGCAUCCUAAAUAGUAGCAGAGCUCUAAAGCACGAUUGCCUUUUCUGCGCUGGACUGGUGCUGCCUCGGAACUCCGGGGGCGACAUAGACAGUGUUUGUUGAACUUGUUGUGUUAAACUAGACGCGUCAUCAUUGCUCUCGUAAUUUAAUACGACUUUCGAUGCUUCUCUGAUGAUGUCAUGGCACGUAAAAGUCUGCGCAGGCUAUUUCCAAAAGGAUUAUUGCGGAUUUUCGUUGCUCAGGAAAACUACAGCAGCCAGUCUGAGGUAACUAGAUCACUGCAGUAGCGACCUGGAGGAAGUGCGUCACUUCAACUUCAACAGCCUUUUCAUUGCGUGUACUGUGUGAAAUAAUUACAGUAAUAAUAAAGGACGGGUCAAUAAAAGGACGUAAAUUCAAACGUUAUUCUGCUAAACGCAGCCAGUCUUAGUCAUAGUAUAGUUAUGUAAUCAAUGAAGUCAUCCGGUGAUUAAUAGUAACCAAACCACUAGCCUUACUAACAAACAUGCACAAUACAAGUUUCCAUUGGGUAAUCAUUGCAUCGUUUUUGAAAUAAGUGACCUAAACAUAUCUGAUUUUCGUGGAUGUUACCACUCUUCGACAGCAGGGGUCGCAAAAGGUCCAUUGACACGCACUGCAAAAUCCAGCCAAGUGAUUUGGAGGCUGAAGAUCAGGCCUCUUUCCACUGACAAUGUAUUUCAACAUUUAGACGACCAUGAAAACACGGAAAACGAAAGUUGAAAAUGAAUUAUUUUUAAUCUCAGCUCAAAGCAAACUUUACAGUGUCAAGGAAGGUAUGUAGAAAUACGCUUCACCUUUAUUUGGUCAAAUAAAACUCACACCAAACACGAGACAAUAGGAUACAUGAAUAUGUUGAGAUAUAUAAAGUAUGGAGAUGUAGAGCAGGCACAGAAGGUAAAAUGUACAGUACAGGUUUAAGGUACAAGUAUUUCUAAUAGUUAGCCAGCAUUUAUACACUACAAACAGCCUGAAUACACUGUAGGUUAGAUGUAAGUACAGAAGUACACACACUCAAUUGUAUUUUGAACUAUAAAUAGAAGGCCUGCUGGUGUUAUUGUAUUAUGUAAGUCAGUGUGAAGCAGAGAAUGUGUGGGGGUCCGGGUCCAGGGUGUCAACCAGGAAGUGUGUGUGGAAAGUUUUUGGAAUUCUGAGUAUUUCUACUCGUUUUAUCUAAGAUUAUUUUUAUGCAUGACUAAAACAUUGGUGCAAGACUUUUAAUGUUGUAGUUUUAUGUAAAAAAAUAGGAAUUGUAUGCAUAUUCUCCCGAUGUAACCUGCGUUAAUUUCACAAUAAAUGUUUUGUAAUAUUCAUUUCAGUGUUUGAUGUUAAUUAUGUCCCUCUUCUGUUCCCGUUUUUUGGAUUUAACACAGAAUUGUCUCAAUCUCAUCACCUAAGCUUUAGGGCAUAGAUAACUAUUUGUCAGUAAUGAGUGGAUGGAUGUUUUCUGGAUGGACAGACUACAAUUUUUUGAGUUUGUUUUGAUAUUACCUUGAAAAGGGCAAAUAGUAUAUCUAAUCUCAGAGGACAGACUGAGCUCCUCCAACACAAUGAUGUUAAAUAAUCAUUAUCAUGUAUUUUGGGCAUGCAGGUUCUUGUAUGAGUUACAGUUGUACAUUUUCCAUUACAUAUAGGCUAAAUUUACUAGAGUGGACUAACUCACCAUUUUAAGAACAUGGAAAAAUUAGUAUAGACAGUGUGCAAUGUGAACAAUGAGGAGUUAUUACAAAUGAACAAGCAUAGGCAGAUUUCAAAUCAAAGUUCUUAUUAGAGAAUAUAUGAUUCAGAUUGAAUAGACAACAUCC
ensembl:lncRNA